rnacentral:rRNA from 1 species
UACGGGGGGGGCAAGCGUUGUUCGGAAUUACUGGGCGUAAAGGGCUCGUAGGUGGCCAACUAAGUCGGACGUGAAAUCCCUCAGCUUAACUGGGGAACUGCGUCCGAUACUGGAUGGCUUGAGUUUGGGAGAGGGAUGCGGAAUUCCCGGUGUAGCGGUGAAAUGCGCAGAUAUCGGGGGGAACACCAAUGGCGAAGGCAGCUCGCUGGGACGUUACUGACGCUGAGACGCGAAAGCGUGGGGAGCAAACAGG